UUGCAAGGGGUCCGGCUCAAGGAUGCCGGAUCCCUUGAGUUCCAGUGGUGGCUCUGAUCUUCCCCCUAUCAGGGAACCCUGGAUGCUGGGGGUGGGGGGAAGGGUGUUUAUAAGCUAGACAAGGCUUUCUGGUGAUUCACACGCCACAUGCCAGCCACAGCAACUCUCCACCUCAGAGCUCUGACGGAUACUUGAAGCUACCUCAGCCUGAGAACCUGAACUUGGCCUUACUGAGAAAUGGCACUUGCUCAGACCUGCUGGGAAUUCAAGGGUCACAACAGUAGCCAGGGGACUUUCCAGCAAAUGGUUGUUCCAGAAAAAUCUCAGCAGCACCUGGCCUCUCACGAACACCAGCGCCACAAAAGGAGCCAGCACAUCUCCGACUUCCUGUGCAAGAUGCUGUGUGGAAAGACAGCGGUUUUUUCGUUAAGAUGCCAACUUGGGGCUGGCGAGAUGUCUCUGCAGGGAAAGGCGCUUGCCAGGAAGCCUAACGACCCGAGGUCGUGAGCUGGUGGGAGAGACCCAACUCCGCAAGUCAGCCUCUGACCUCCACAUUCAGAAACUCCCCGAGGCCAGGCUUUGGGUCCCUUUGAGAUCACGGGUCACACAAGGGUGGCACACAGCAGGUGCUCCUUCAUGAGAGAUGACUGGAUGAGCUGGUGACCAGAUCAAUUCCUGGGAAGCCGCCAGCAAGGCCAUAAGGAAUGUGGACUUGGUUCUGUACUAACUGAAAAACAAGGGAUUUUGACCUUUCUGGAGUUGAAUGCCUGUCCCUCCAACACAGCCUUGAGAAAAACCCCAGAGUACUCUGUAUAAAUCUCUGAAGCUCAGCUGCCUCCCCUGCUGUGGCCCUGCGGUAACUCACUGGGCUGCUGGGAACUUUCUCAGAGAGGAGCUUAUGUACCGGAAGCUGGCCUCCCUCCCCUCCCCGUGUAGUAAAGUCUGAAUUCCCAGUUAUUAUUUGUGGGAAGCCGCCCUCACAUUCGCCGUUGCAAGAUGGCGCUGAC